rnacentral:rRNA from 1 species
AGCGAACGCUGGCGGCAGGCUUAACACAUGCAAGUCGAGCGCCCCGCAAGGGGAGCGGCAGACGGGUGAGUAACACGUGGGAACGUACCCUUUGGUUCGGAACAACCCAGGGAAACUUGGGCUAAUACCGGAUAAGUCCGCGAGGAGAAAGAUUUAUCGCCGAAGGAUCGGCCCGCGUCUGAUUAGCUAGUUGGUGUGGUAACGGCGCACCAAGGCGACGAUCAGUAGCUGGUCUGAGAGGAUGAUCAGCCACACUGGGACUGAGACACGGCCCAGACUCCUACGGGAGGCAGCAGUGGGGAAUAUUGGACAAUGGGGGCAACCCUGAUCCAGCCAUGCCGCGUGAGUGAUGAAGGCCCUAGGGUUGUAAAGCUCUUUCGGUGGGGAAGAUAAUGACGGUACCCACAGAAGAAGCCCCGGCUAACUUCGUG